rnacentral:rRNA from 1 species
GACGAACGCUGGCGGCGUGCUUAACACAUGCAAGUCGAACGGAGUUCCUUGGAUAGAGGCUUCGGCCAAUUGAAUUGGAACUUAGUGGCGGACUGGUGAGUAACGCGUGAGGAACCUGCCUUUCAGGGGGGGACAACAGUUGGAAACGACUGCUAAUACCGCAUGACACAUUCGGGCGGCAUCGCUUGAAUGUCAAAGAUUUUAUCGCUGAAAGAUGGCCUCGCGCCUGAUUAGCUAGUUGGUAGGGUAACGGCCUACCAAGGCGACGAUCAGUAGCCGGACUGAGAGGUUGACCGGCCACAUUGGGACUGAGAUACGGCCCAGACUCCUACGGGAGGCAGCAGUGGGGAAUAUUGGGCAAUGGACGCAAGUCUGACCCAGCAACGCCGCGUGAAGGAAGAAGGCUUUCGGGUUGUAAACUUCUUUUAAGUGGGAAGAGUAGAAGACGGUACCACUUGAAUAAGCCACGGCUAACUACGUGCCAGCAGCCGCAGUAAUAC